AUUGAACGCUGGCGGCAGGCCUAACACAUGCAAGUCGAACGAGUGGCGGACGGGUGAGUAAUGUCUGGGAAACUGCCUGAUGGAGGGGGAUAACUACUGGAAACGGUAGCUAAUACCGCAUACCAUCGGAUGUGCCCAGAUGGGAUUAGCUAGUAGGUGGGGUAACGGCUCACCUAGGCGACGAUCCCUAGCUGGUCUGAGAGGAUGACCAGCCACACGGGAACUGAGACACGGUCCAGAAUCGUACGGGAGGCAGCAGUGGGGAAUAUUGCAAAAUGGGCGCAAGCCUGAUGCAGCCAUGCCGCGUGUAUGAAGAAGGCCUUCGGGUUGUAAACGCCUUUCGACAGGGACGCGGUACCUGUAGAAGAAGCACCGGCUAACUACGUGCCAGCAGCCGCGGUAAUUC
rnacentral:rRNA from 1 species